rnacentral:rRNA from 1 species
GAUGAACGCUGGCGGCGUGCUUAACACAUGCAAGUCGAACGAGGGAUAAGAUGAAGUUUUCGGAUGGAUUUUUAUUCCGAGUGGCGGACGGGUGAGUAACGCGUGGGUAACCUGCCCUGUACAGGGGGAUAACAGUUGGAAACGACUGUUAAUACCGCAUAAGACCACAGCACCGCAUGGUGCAGGGGUAAAAACUCCGGUGGUACAGGAUGGACCCGCGUCCAAUUAGAUAGUUGGUGAGGUAACGGCCCACCAAGUCGACGAUUGGUAGCCGAUCUGAGAGGACGAACGGCCACAUUGGAACUGAGAGACGGUCCAAACUCC